AGAAUGCAUGAUUAUUGCCAAUGAUGCCACCGUCAAAGGAGGUGCCUACUACCCAGUGACUGUGAAAAAACAAUUACGGGCCCAAGAAAUUGCCAUGCAAAACAGGCUCCCCUGCAUCUACUUAGUUGAUUCGGGAGGAGCAUACUUACCUCGACAAGCAGAUGUGUUUCCAGAUCGAGACCACUUUGGCCGUACAUUCUAUAAUCAGGCAAUUAUGUCUUCUAAAAAUAUUGCACAG
rnacentral:misc_RNA from 1 species